rnacentral:rRNA from 1 species
UGGGGGAUAUUGCACAAUGGGCGAAAGCCUGAUGCAGCGACGCCGCGUGGGGGAUGACGGCUUUCGGGUUGUAAACCUCUUUCGCUAUCGAACAAGGCCCGCUUCGGGUGGGCUGAGGGUAGGUGGAGAAGAAGCGCCGGCUAACUACGUGCCAGCAGCCGCGGUAAUACGUAGGGCGCGGGCGUUGUCCGGAAUUAUUGGGCGUAAAGGGCUUGUAGGCGGCUUGUUGCGCCUGCUGUGAAAACGCGGGGCUUAACUUCGGGCGUGCAGUGGGUACGGGCAGGCGUGAGGGGGGUAGGGGUGACUGGAAGUCCGGGUGUAGCGGUGGAAUGCGCAGAUAUCUGGGGGAAGACCGAUGGCGAAGGCAGGUCACUGGGCCAUUACUGACGCUGAGGAGCGAAAGCAUGGGUAGCGAACAGG